UGGGGAAUAUUGGACAAUGGGCGAAAGCCUGAUCCAGCAAUACCGCGUGUGUGAAGAAGGCCUGAGGGUUGUAAAGCACUUUCAAUAGGAAGGAAUACCUAUCGGUUAAUACCCGGUAGACUGACAUUACCUAUACAAGAAGCACCGGCUAACUCCGUGCCAGCAGCCGCGGUAAUACGGAGGGUGCAAGCGUUAAUCGGAAUUACUGGGCGUAAAGCGUGCGUAGGCGGUUAUUUAAGUCAGAUGUGAAAGCCCUGGGCUUAACCUGGGAACUGCAUUUGAUACUGGAUGACUAGAGUUGAGUAGAGGAGAGUGGAAUUUCAGGUGUAGCGGUGAAAUGCGUAGAGAUCUGAAGGAACACCAGUGGCGAAGGCGGCUCUCUGGACUCAAACUGACGCUGAGGUACGAAAGCGUGGGUAGCAAACA
rnacentral:rRNA from 1 species